rnacentral:rRNA from 1 species
CCUACGGGGGGCAGCAGUGGGGAAUAUUGGACAAUGGGGGGAACCCUGAUCCAGCCAUGCCGCGUGUGUGAAGAAGGCCCUCGGGUUGUAAAGCACUUUCAGUGAGGAAGAACGCCUGGUGGUUAAUACCCAUCAGGAAAGACAUCACUCACAGAAAAAGCACCGGCUAACUCCGUGCCAGCAGCCGCGGUAAUACGGAGGGUGCGAGCGUUAAUCGGAAUUACUGGGCGUAAAGCGCGCGUAGGUGGCUUGAUAAGCCGGUUGUGAAAGCCCCGGGCUCAACCUGGGAACGGCAUCCGGAACUGUCAAGCUAGAGUGCAGGAGAGGAAGGUAGAAUUCCCGGUGUAGCGGUGAAAUGCGUAGAGAUCGGGAGGAAUACCAGUGGCGAAGGCGGCCUUCUGGACUGACACUGACACUGAGGUGCGAAAGCGUGGGUAGCAAACAGGAUUAGAUACCCUAGUAGUC